rnacentral:rRNA from 1 species
AUACGUAGGGAGCGAGCGUUGUCCGGAAUUACUGGGUGUAAAGGGAGCGUAGGCGGGAGUGCAAGUCAGAUGUGAAAUACAUGGGCUCAACCCAUGGGCUGCAUUUGAAACUGCAUUUCUUGAGUGAAGUAGAGGUAAGCGGAAUUCCUGGUGUAGCGGUGAAAUGCGUAGAUAUCAGGAGGAACACCGGUGGCGAAGGCGGCUUACUGGGCUUUUACUGACGCUGAGGCUCGAAAGCGUGGGGAGCAAACAGGAUUAGAGACCCUGGUAGUCCACGCUGUAAACGAUGAUUACUAGGUGUGGGGGGACUGACCCCUUCCGUGCCGCAGUUAACACAAUAAGUAAUCCACCUGGGGAGUACGGCCGCAAGGUUGAAACUCAAAGGAAUUGACGGGG